UUAUUUUUAAUAAAGUGUUUGAUAUUUGUGAAAUGUAUACAUGUAUAUGUGUGAUAAUUAUUAAUAAAAUAUAAUAAAUAUGUAAGGUAUUUAUUAUUGAGGUAUAAGGCCCUCGCGACCUUUUACCUGCGUCCGUGCAUAUAUAUAUAUUCGUUACCGGCGAUCCCGUGCGCGUGUUUGUAUAUUGGUAUGUGUAUGUCUUUGUACCUGUGAGUAUAUUUCACUGACGAACGUGACAUGUGACUGUAACAAAGUUGUUUGAUUGGUUGAAAGUUCUUAUCUGUGGUUUUAGUCUUUGUUUCUUUGUGUUUCGGGACAUUUGAAUUUCGACGUCAUUGAAGCCGGAGCUACAAAAUGUAGGUCUUCGAAUUCAUCUGUCACCAUAUAGAGUCGUAUUCCUGUAUUGGUAAGUUUGAUAUCUUUCUUUAGUUGUUUUGCCCUGUUCCUGUUUCUGUAAGAAUGAUAUUUGAAAGUUAUAAGUGAUAAGAUCAUGUUUUCCAUAUUUUUAAUACUUUGAAUAAAUAUACGUAUAUGUACUGUACACGGUUAUCGUACAGCAGAGAUAUUUUUUAUAAAUGUAAUAGUGUUCAUAUUGAAACCUAUUGUACAAGUGUGAAAACUAUACUUUAUUAUUGUAGUUUACAUCUGUUGUGCGGUAUAUGACGGUCAUGGAAGUGAGCAGUGUUAAGCCUCACGUUGAUGCACUAUACGUGUUAACGUGGGUUUUUGAGUAAUAAUAAAACCUUUGAAAUCAAACGAA